rfam:Dipodomys ordii contig_12365, whole genome shotgun sequence.
GGUGGCUCAGUGGUAGAGCACUUGUCUUGCAUGCAUGAGGCCCUGGGUUCCAUUCCUCAGCACCA